CCUUGUACACACCGCCCCGUCACGUCAUGAAAGCUGUCUGUACCCGAAGUUGUUUUAGCCAACCCGUAAGGGAGGCGGAUGCCUAAGGUAUGGGGAGGUGAGUUGGGACG
rnacentral:rRNA from 1 species